AAACUUCUUUAUACGGGAAUAAAGUAUCCUACGUGUAGGAUUUUGUAUGUACCGUAUGAAUAAGCAUCGGCUAACUACGUGCCAGCAGCCGCGGUAAUACGUAGGUGGCAAGCGUUGUCCGGAUUUAUUGGGCGUAAAGCGAGUGCAGGCGGCUCGAUAAGUCUGAUGUGAAAGCCUUCGGCUCAACCGGAGAAUUGCAUCAGAAACUGUCGAGCUUGAGUACAGAAGAGGAGAGUGGAACUCCAUGUGUAGCGGUGAAAUGCGUAGAUAUAUGGAAGAACACCGGUGGCGAAGGCGGCUCUCUGGUCUGUUACUGACGCUGAGGCU
rnacentral:rRNA from 1 species